CCGGCGACAAGUCGGAGGAAGUGGGAGUGACGUCGAAAUCAUCAUGCCCCUUAUGACCUGGGCUACACACGUGCUACAAUGGGCGGUACAAAGGGCUGCGAACCCGCGAGGGGGAGCGAAUCCCAAAAAGCCGCUCUCAGUUCGAUUGCAGGCUGCAACUCGCCUGCAUGAAGCCGGAAUCGCUAGUAAUCGCGGAUCAGCAUGCCGCGGUGAAUACGUUCCCGGGCCUU
rnacentral:rRNA from 1 species